GACGAACGCUGGCGGCGUGCCUAAUACAUGCAAGUCGAGCGGACUGAAUGGGAGCUUGCUCUUGUUCGGUCAGCGGCGGACGGGUGAGUAACACGUGGGCAACCUGCCCGCAAGACCGGGAUAACUCCGGGAAACCGGAGCUAAUACCGGAUAACACCGAAGACCGCAUGGUCUUUGGUUGAAAGGCGGCGCAAGCUGCCACUUGCGGAUGGGCCCGCGGCGCAUUAGCUAGUUGGUGAGGUAACGGCUCACCAAGGCGACGAUGCGUAGCCGGCCUGAGAGGGUUACCGGCCACACUGGGACUGAGACACGGCCCAGACUCCUACGGGAGGCAGCAGUAGGGAAUCUUCCGCAAUGGGCGAAAGCCUGACGGAGCGACGCCGCGUGAGCGAAGAAGGCCUUCGGGUCGUAAAGCUCUGUUGUGAGGGACGAAGGAGCGCCGUUUGAAGAAGGCGGCGCGGUGACGGUACCUCACGAGGAAGCCCCGGCUAACUACGUG
rnacentral:rRNA from 1 species